UUACUCUGGUUUCUCUUCAUAACGCACAAGUCUUUCGUCUUUUACUAAAGACUUCCGUGGAGAGUGACUCCAACGAGUUUAGCCUAUUUUUGGCAGGCUUUGCCCUCUGGCCGAGCCG
ensembl:snRNA U5 U5 spliceosomal RNA